UGUCUGAUGACCAGAGGUAUGCCUGAUGACCAGAGGGAUGUCUGAAGACCAGAAGGCAUGUCUGAUGACCAGAAGGUAUGUCUUAUGACCAGAAGGUAUGUCUGAUGACCAGAGGUACCAGUAUGUCUGAUGACCAAAAGGUAUGUCUGAUGACCAGAGGUAUUUCUGAUGACCAGAAGGUAUGUCUGAUGCCCAGAGGUAUGUCUGAUGACCAGAAGGUAUGUCCGAUGACCAGAAGGUAUGCCUGAUGACCAGAGGUAUGUCUGAUGACCAGAGGUAUGCCUGAUGACCAAAAGGUAUGUCUGAUAACCAGAAGGUAUGCCUGAUGACCAAAAGGGAUGUCUGAUAACCAGAAGGUAUGUCUGAUGACCAGAAGGUAUGUCUGAAGACCAGAAGGUAUGUCUGAUGACCAGAGGGAUGUCUGCUGACCAGAGGUAUGUCUGAUGACCAGAAGGUAUUUCUGAUGACCAGAAGGUAUGUCUGAUGGCCAGAGGUAUGUCUGAUGACCAGAAGGUAUGUCCGAUGACCAGAAGGUAUGCCUGAUGACCAGAGGUAUGUCUGAUGACCAGAAGGUAUUUCUGAUGACCAGAAGGUAUGUCUGAUGACCAGAGGUAUGUCGGAUGACCAGAGGUAUGUCUGAUGACCAGAAGCAUUGUCUGAUGACCAGAAGGAAUGUCUGAUGACCAGAAGGUAUGUCUGAUGACCAGAAGGUAUGUCUGAUGACCAGAAGCAUUGUCUGAUGACCAGAAGCAUUGUCUGAUGACGGGCGUCUGAUGAUCAUAAGCACUUAACGUAACAGUUUCUACAACACAAAUAAAUGAAACUCUAGCCAUUUGGCUUUGGAAAUGGUAAUGAUUUUGAAAUAUCCAGAAGAUUCUGCUGGGAGGAAAUGAUAUAAUGUUCAGGCGUCAAACUCACAAAACUUUUCGAUUUAAGAAUGUCCUUAACUUCUCAAAAACAGAUUUAUUUUACAGAUCCACAAAGACAAUGGAAAAAGUAACAUGUAU
rnacentral:lncRNA from 1 species